rnacentral:rRNA from 1 species
AAUCUUCCGCAUUGGAUGCAAGUCUGACGGAGCAUCGCCGCGUGAUUUCUGAAGGAAUUCUGUUCGUAAAACUCUGUUGUUAAGGAAGAACACUUGAGGCAGUAACUGGCCAUGAACUCACGGUACGUAACCAGAAAUUCUCGGCUAACUACGAGCUCGCAUCCGAGGUAAUACGUAGGUGGCAAACGUUAUCCGGAAUUAUUGGGCGUAAAGCGCGCGUAGGCGGUAAAAUAAGUCUGAUGUUAAAGCCCCCGGCUCAACCGGGGAGGGUCAUUGGAAACUGUUUUACUUGAGUACAGAAGAGGAGAGUGGAAUUCCAUGUGUAGCGGUGAAAUGCGCAGAGAUAUGGAGGAACACCAGUGGCGAAGGCGGCUCUCUGGUCUGUAACUGACGCUGAGGUGCGAAAGCGUGGGGAUCAAACA